rnacentral:rRNA from 1 species
AUCUGGUUGAUCCUGCCAGUAGUCAUACGCUCGUCUCAAAGAUUAAGCCAUGCAUGUGUAAGUAUAAAUAGUUAACUUUGAAACUGCGAAUGGCUCAUUAUAUCAGUUAUAGUUUAUUUGAUGAAGAAUACUAAUUGGAUAACCGUAGUAAUUCUAGAGCUAAUACAUGUAUAAAGUCUUGUAGACUGCAUUUAUUAGAAUGAAAACCAUAGGUUUCGGCCUAUUCGUGAGUAAUAAUAACUAAUCAUAUCGUAUGCUUAUGUAACGAUGUGUCUUUCAAGUUUCUGCCCUAUCAGCUUUCGAUGGUAGUGUAUUGGACUACCAUGGCAGUAACGGGUAACGAAGAAUUUGGGUUCGAUUUCGGAGAGGGAGCCUGAGAGAUGGCUACCACAUCCAAGGAAGGCAGCAGGCGCGUAAAUUACCCAAUCCUGUCACAGGGAGGUAGUGACAAUAAAUCACAAUGCGGAACAAUGUUUUGCAAUUGGAUUGAGAACAACGUACAAACCUUAUCGAUAAACAAUUGGAGGGCAAGUCUGGUGCCAGCAGCCGCGGUAAUCCAGCUCCAAUGCCGGUG